CUGUAGCCAAUUAAACCAACCAGGUUACUUUCCUCAUGGUGGCCUAGUAUGCAAUGGCUAUAGAAAGCAGCCUCCUUGGUAGUGGAUGCAGCCUGUUACUUUGUACAGUUGCCCUAAGGGACCACGGAGACAGUU
ensembl:snoRNA SNORA70 Small nucleolar RNA SNORA70